AUUCCACCUUGUAGAGGAAAGUGAAAAUGAAGCAAAUGGAAGGAGUUCUUCAUAUAUUCUGAAUCAGAAUCCUUUCACCCAGUUGGACAAGAACAUGAGUAAGGUGGAGAAAAUAAUCCCUUGUCUGAUUUCAUCUUCCUACCAAUCUAUCAGUUGUGUGCACAGUGAGGAGAUAGAAGUAAAACACAGCUAUCGUCUUCAAUUUAAGACCUCUACAUUGAAAACUAAAAAAAAAGUAUAUUCUUGAGAGAAAUGAAAGAAGACUUAAAUAAGUGGAAGGAUAUAUCAUGUUCUUCAAAUGGAUGAUUUCCAGUAGUGUACUUUAUUCAACUGUGUCCUUCAAGAUUGUUUUUCUAUUCUUAGCUGUUUGACUUUUAUAUAAAUAUUACAAUUAGAUAAUUAAUCUCUAAAAAAAUCCUGCUGAUAGUUUGAUUGAAGUUUCCAUGGUGCUUUCCAGCACCAUUUCGUAUAUCAGACUUGUGGGCUUUUUUCGUCACACCAACAAAUGUCUCAACUCUCUACACACCAAUUGAGCAUCCUACAAUUCAGUUCAGAUCUGACACUAUCUACCUGAAGUUAGCAUUGGGUCCCAGGAGUCAACAAGUCAUUCCUAUAAGACUUUCCUCACUUCAGUCCCAGCCACAAGUCUCAGUUUGUCACCCAUACUUCUGGGUGAACAACUAUAAAUUCAGGGGCUCUCACAACCACCUCCUAGGGUUUGAUAAUUCGCUAAAACAAGUCACAAACUCAGGAAAGUGUUUGAUUUACUAUUGCUGGUUUCUUAUAAAGAAUACAACUCAAGAACAGUCCAAUGGAAGAGUAAGAUAUGGGGGAGCAGAGGCAAAAGCUUCCCUGCCCUCUCCAUGUGCCCCAACCUCCUACCACCUCAAUGUGUUCACCAAUCCGGAAGCUCCAUAAACCCCAUCAUUUAGGAGUUUUUAAGGAGGUUUCAUCUGGUAAGCCUGAUUGACCAAAUAAUUGGCCCUUGUGGGUGAGGCUGAAAGUUCCAAUCCUCUAAUCAUGGCUUGGUCUUUCUGGUGACCAGCUGGCAUCCUGAAGCUCUCUAGAGAUAACCAGCCACCAGUCAUCUUAUUAGCAUAAAAAGACACCCCUAUUACUCCAAAGUAUCCAAGAG
rnacentral:lncRNA from 1 species